AUUGAACGCUGGCGGCAGGCUUAACACAUGCAAGUCGAGCGGAGAUGAGGUGCUUGCACCUUAUCUUAGCGGCGGACGGGUGAGUAAUGCUUAGGAAUCUGCCUAUUAGUGGGGGACAACAUUCCGAAAGGAAUGCUAAUACCGCAUACGUCCUACGGGAGAAAGCAGGGGAUCUUCGGACCUUGCGCUAAUGGAUGAGCCUAAGUCGGAUUAGCUAGUUGGUGGGGUAAAGGACUACCAAGGCGACGAGCUGUAGCGGGUCUGAGAGGAUGAUACGCCACACUGGGACUGAGGCAAGGCCCAGACUCCUACGGGAGGCAGUAGUGGGGAAUAUUGGACAAUGGGGGGGACCCUGAUCCAGCCAUGCCGCGUGUGUGAAGAAGGCCUUAUGGUUGUAAAGCACUUUAAGCGAGGAGGAGGCUACUGAGACUAAUACUCUUGGAUAGUGGACGUUACUCGCAGAAUAAGCACCGGCUAACUCUGUGCCAGCCGCCGCCGUAAGAC
rnacentral:rRNA from 1 species